UUUGAUCCUGGCUCAGAGUGAACGCUGGCGGCAGGCCUAAUACAUGCAAGUCGAACGGCAGCACAGCAGAGCUUGCUCUGUGGGUGGCGAGUGGCGGACGGGCGAGGAAUACAUGGGAAUCUGCCCAGUCGUGGGGGAUAACGUAUGGAAACGUACGCUAAUACCGCAUGCGCCCUACGGGGGAAAGCCGGGGACCGAAAGGCCUGGCGCGAUUGGAUGAGCCCAUGUUCGAUUAGCUAGUUGGAGGGGUAACGGCCCACCAAGGCGACGAUCGAUAGCUGGUCUGAGAGGAUGAUCAGCCGCACUGGGACUGAGACACGGCCCAGACUCCUACGGGAGGCAGCAGUAGGGAAUAUUGGACAAUGGGCGCAAGCCUGAUCCAGCCAUGCCGCGUGAGUGAAGAAGGCCCUCGGGUUGUAAAGCUCUUUUGUUGGGGAAGAAAAGCAUCCGGUUAAUACCCGGGUGUUCUGACGGUACCCAAAGAAUAAGCACCGGCUAACUUCGUGCCAGCAGCCGCGGUAAUACGAAGGGUGCAAGCGUUACUCGGAAUUACUGGGCGUAAAGCGUGCGUAGGUGGUUUGUUAAGUCUGAUGUGAUAGCCCUGGGCUCAACCUGGGAAUGGCACUGGAUACUGGCAAGCUAGAGUGUGGCAGAGGGUAGUGGAAUUCCUGGUGUAGCAGUGAAGUGCGUAGAGAUCAGGAGGAACAUCCGUGGCGAAGGCGACUGCCUGGGCCAACACUGACACUGA
rnacentral:rRNA from 1 species